rnacentral:tRNA from 1 species
UGGGAUGUGGCUCAGUGGUAGAGCACUUGCCUAGCACACAUGAGGCUCUGGGUUCAAUCCUCAGCACCACAU